CCAGGGGCUGGUGUCUGCAGAGCUCAGCCUUCUGGACACAGAACAAGGUAUAGCAAAGGCGACUGAAAUUACCGGCCCCAGCUCGCGACCCAUGCAUGGACUGGCACAGGGGCAAGGUGGAGAGAAAGGGAAACGAGAGACCCAAAUCAAGACGUUCUCACUUCUCAGCAGGCUCAGUGCCCAACAUGUCAUAAGGAUUCAGCAAACAUUUGUAAAACGAGCGGAAGAGGACCAGGUCUGGAACAUGGAGCACUGCCAGUAAGACAGCCCAAUUUGCGAGUCCAAACUUUGGGCAGCGUCAAGGAAAGCCAAGGCCACCCCAGGGCGUGCAAAAUCAGAUUUUGUGCACUUCGUUGCAGACUUGAUUGACCGUGUUUGGGCGUUCACGUAAAGCCUUGCACUGACUUUCCUCUGGUGAUCAUAUGGAAGAAGCAGAGAACCAGUUUCCCGUGGCACCUUUGACUGAGGUGCAAACUUCUCCCUAAGGCUACCAAGAAAUCAGAGCACUAUGUUAUGGCUUUUGCCUCUCCUUGGAUUCCUAUCCAAUCAUGACGGAUUGGUGGAUUUGCCUAGUACCUCAGAAGUCAUCCAGUGCAUUUUCUCUCUCUGCCUUUGACUUGAAAAGAUCAGGUAGCCAGAGAGGGUAAGAAAGUUGCCCAAGGUCCUAUAACCAGUAAAUAACCAUGCUGGGGCUAAAAGGCAGUUCUUAUGAAUCCUCAUCUAGUUACUUCUGCCAUUCCUCAUUUAACUUCUUAUUAUAUUGUGCCGUCACACAUAAGACCAAUGAUUCCUGUUAUGGGCUGAAUUGUGUCUCCUCAAAUUCACAUGUUGA